rnacentral:rRNA from 1 species
AUGGCAGCCACAACACUGAGGGCGCAGCUCAAUGCUCAUAUCACCGGCAUGUACACUGAUGGUGUCGUGGACGAGGACACGUUCGAGGAGCUGCGGGACGAGGGCACCGCCGUCGAGGUCUCCCGCCUCUUCAUCUACGACGCCUCCAAGAUCAUCGACGACAUCGACAUCCUGAUGGAGGAGCCCGAAGUGGACUUUGAUGAGGUGGAAGCCCUGACGCAGCAUCUCAUGCGGUGCACCUCCAGUUUGUCCACGGCAUUGAUGUUGUUCUUUAUUUGGAUGUGUCGGCACGGGGUGCGUACCUCACGACACGGCCGCACAAUUGAGGUUCGUGUCGUUCUACAGGCGCCGUAUAGCCAUAGGUAG